rnacentral:misc_RNA from 1 species
AAAAUAAUCCUACCCUUUGUGAAUUUUGUUUGUUUGAAUAAUUUUUUUUUUUAAAAAAUUAUUGGAGUCUUUCCCUUUAGAGUUUGCUUUUGAGUUUGUAAAAGAAUUCGAAAACAUCUAAAGGGGAUGGUCAAUAAUUUUUUUGAAAAAAGACAUUUUUUAAAAUUAAACUUUUUGUAUUCAUUUGUCUAAAAAUUAUUUUUAUAAUAUAAAAACAACUUUUGACAAUGGAUCUCUUGGUUCUCGCAACGAUGAAGAACGCAGCAAAAUGCGAUAAGUAGUGUGAAUUGCAGAAUACGUGAAUCAUCGAAUCUUUGAACGCAUAUUGCACUUUUUUAGUUUACUAAAAAAGUAUGUCUGUUUGAGUAUCAGUAAAAUAUUCUCAUAAAAAUCAUUGUAUUUUUAUGGUUAUGAGUGUUUUACAACGAUACAAGUUGUUUCACUUUAAAUUUUUUUUUAAUAUUGAAAUUUUUCUAAUUUUAAUAAUUAAAAUUGGAUAAAAUUUUCCCGUCAAAAGGAAUAACCUAAACAAUUUUAAAUGAUUAAUUUUAGCAAAAUUUUCGAAAAAAAGGAAAAUUUUUAUUAAAAUAACUUGAUCUCAAAUCAGAUAAGAGUACCCGCUGAACUUAAGCAUAUCAAUAAGCGGAGGAAAAGAAACUAACAAGGAUUCCCUUAGUAACGGCGAGUGAAGCGGGAAGAGCUCAAAUUUGAAAUCUUCAAGGUUUUACCUUGACGAAUUGUAGUUUAAAGAAGUGUUUUCUGCUGAAGUUUUGGUAAAAGUUCUUUGGAAUAGGACAUCAUAGAGGGUGAGAAUCCCGUAUUUGACCAUUAUUUUCAGCUUUGUGAUACACUUUCAAAGAGUCGGAUUGUUUGGGAAUGCAGUCCAAAAUGGGUGGUAAAUUUCAUCUAAGGCUAAAUAUUGGCGAGAGACCGAUAGCGAACAAGUACCGUGAGGGAAAGAUGAAAAGAACUUUGAAAAGAGAGUUAAACAGUACGUGAAAUUGUCAAAAGGGAAGCGUUUGACACCAGUGUUGUUUUCUCGAAAAUCAAUUAAAAAUGGCUCGAUUUUGUAUUGCUUGAGACCUUAAAAGCUCACUGUACAUUUUUCGUGUCUUUUUUAAUGCACUUUUCGUUUGACAAGUCAACAUCAGUUUCUUUUGUUGUAAAAGGGUCAUUGGAAGGUGGCUUUCUUUUCGGAGAAAGUGUUUAUAGCCUUUGGCCUCUGCAAUCGGAGAGACUGAGGUCUGCAGCGUAGACUCUUCGGGGUUAGAUACAUUUGUGCUAAGUUAUAGCUUUUUAUAGACAACUUGUUGACUAUAAUUAGUCUUGUAGCUUACUCGCUUAUGCUAUUUUACCUACGCUUAGGAUG